rnacentral:rRNA from 1 species
AUUAAUAAUUAAUAUAUUUAAUAAAAAUAAUUUUAAUUUAAUAAAUAUUUUAAUGGGGGUUAAAGUAUUUUUUAAAGAAAAAAUUUUUAAAUUUAUAGUUAAUUAGUAUUGUGAAAGAAUUUUGAAAUAUUAUGAAAAAUAAAAUUUUUGUAAAGUAAUUUUUAUUUAUUGUAUCUUGUGUAUCAGAGUUUAUUAAAAAUUUUUAAUUUAUAAAUUAAUUUCUCGAAUUUAAAAGAGUUAAAUAAUUAUUAAAGUUAUUGUAGCAAAAUUAUUUUAAAUAAUUAUUUAGAAAUGAAAUGUUAAUCGUUUUUAAAUAUAUCUAGUUUUUAUAGAAAAAAAUUUAAUUUUAAAUUUAAAAAUUAUUUAAUUAAUUUAUUAAUUAAAUAAUUAUUUAAAUUUUAUAAUUUAAGGGAUAAGCUUUAAAUUAAAUUUUUAUAAUAUUAAAUUUUUAUUUUGAAAAUUUUAUAAUUUAUAUUGUUAAUAAAUUUUAUUUUGUUAUAAAUAAUUUCAUUUUUUUUAAAAUUUAAAUUUUAUUUAAUUUUUUAUAUAAAAUUUAUUUAUAAUUAUAUAAAGUUAAUUAUAAUGAUAAAAUUAGUAUAUUAUUUAAUAUUAAAUUAAAAUUAAUUUUUGAUUAAUAAUUAAAUUAAUUAAAAGGAAUUCGGCAAAUAUUUAUUUUCACUUGUUUAUCAAAAACAUGUCUUUUUGUUAUUUAAUUUAAAGUCUAAUCUGCCCACUGAUUUAUAAAAAUUGAAGGGCUGCAGUAUAUUGACUGUACAAAGGUAGCAUAAUCAUUAGUCUCUUAAUUGGUGACUUGUAUGAAAGAUUGGAUGAAAAAUAUACUGUCUCUUAAUUAAUAUAUAGAAUUUAAUUUUUUAUUUAAAAAGUUAAAAUAAUUUAAAAAGACGAGAAGACCCUAUAGAGUUUAAUAAAUUAUUUUAUGAAAGUUUUAUUUAUAUUUACUAAUAAUUUUAUAAAUUUAUUUAUUUUGUUGGGGUGAUAAAAAAAUAAAUUUAACUUUUUUUAAGUAAUUUACAUGAAUAAGUGAUUAAU